AAGUAUGGACGGUAGAGGGGAAAAUAAAGGAAGGAGUACGACUUUAGGAAUAAUUAAAUAGAGAAAAGGACGAGAUGUGAAAUGAGCUACAGAGGUUCCACCAUUAGAAAAAGGGAGCAUCAUACAUAUGGUGGAAAACAAACAUUUUCAAAGUGUAGAAAGUUAUCAGAUCAUGGUUGAACCGGAAUCUGCAGCAUUAUCACAUCAUUACGAAUGAAGUUUGCUAAGAUCACGAGAAGGACUAUUCUAGACCUAUUUGUCCACGUUUACUUCAUUUGCCAAAUCCAUUUUGUUUUCUGACAAGGAAAAAAAUUUAACAAACAAAAGCCAUUUUCUUUUGUGUGCUAGAAAACUCAAACAAGGCCGGCAAGAAGCCCUCAGUUCACAGGGUUCAUAUAGACCUUGAGGUUAAGCAGGGAAAGGGCAAUGGAGGGGAUACAACACAGGACUGUGCAGGCAAAUGGAAUUAAUAUUCACUUUGCAGAGAAAGGCCAAGGUCCAAUCAUUCUCUUCCUCCAUGGCUUUCCCGAGUUUUGGUACUCCUGGCGCCACCAGAUCCACGCCCUCGCCUCCCUCGGCUACCGUGCGGUGGCUCCGGACCUCCGCGGUUACGGAGACAGCGAGGCGCCAGCGGAUGUCAACAGCUACACUUGCUUCCACCUGGUGGGUGACCUCAUUGGAUUGCUAGACGCCAUCGCCGCCGAUAAAGUGUUGGUGGUGGGCCACGAUUGGGGAGCCAUAAUUGCUUGGUAUCUAUGCUUGUUUCGGCCUGAUAGAGUGAAGGCUUUGGUGAACCUGAGCGUUGCUUUCCAUCCCAGAAACCCCAUGAAUAAGCCACUCGAGAGCUUCCGGGCUCUUUAUGGAGACGACUACUACAUUUGCAGAUUUCAGGAGCCCGGAGCCAUAGAAACUGAGUUUGCUGAGAUUGGUGCUGACAAAGUUUUAAAGUAUAUGCUCACCUCAGUACCCGCUGGUCCAUUUUAUCUACCCAGAGGAAAAGCCUUGGGAGAUCAACUAGGCACCCAAAUUACCUUGCCCUCUUGGUUGUCAGAGGAAGAAAUGAACUAUUACGUUACCAAAUAUGAGAAGACAGGCUUCACAGGAGGAUUGAACUACUACAGAGAUAUGGACCUAAGUUGGGAACUCACAGCACCCUGGACUAGGAGUCGAGUUGAAGUUCCGGCCAAGUUUAUUGUGGGAGACCUGGACUCCACUUAUAAUACCCCUGCUUUCAAGGAAUUUAUGAACAUUAAUGAAUUGAAGAAACAUGUGCCACUUUUGGAGGAAGUAGUUGUGAUGGAAGGAGUUGGCCACUUUGUCCAGGAAGAAAAGGCAGAUGCGAUCAACCAACACAUCCAUGACUUCUUCCAGAGGAGCCUGGAAAAAUGGAAGCUGAGGAACAGAGGGAGUUCUUAAGUUUUUCCUCACUAAAUUACCGCCCGGUCCUCUGUAUCUUCCAAAGGAAGAUCCCUUUGGAUAUGAACCAGGCACCCCAUUUCCUUUGCCCUCUUGGCUGUCUGAGGAAGAACUUAACUACCACGUUUCCAAAUUUGACAAGACAGGCUUCCUUGGAGGAUUGAACUACUACCGAAUUUUUGAUAGAAGCUGGGAAUUCAACAGCACCAUGGUCCGGGAGUCCGAUCAUGGUGGGGGACCUGGACAUCACUUACAAUUUCACAGGCAUUAAAGAAUAUAUAGAGUGGGGGGUUCAAGGAGAAUGUGCCACUUCUGGAGGAAGUAGUUGUGUUGGAAGGGGUGGAUCACUUUCUCCAGGAAGAAAAGCCAGAUGAGAUCAACAAACAACUCCAUGACUUCUUUCAGAAGUUCUGAUUUCCUUUCAUAUCUUUUCACUAAAUCGUUGUUGUCCUGUGAGGAAUUGUGUUAUGAACCAGUUGUUAGACUUCUUCCACACAUCAAUUAAUCAGCUCACUAUUUUUUUUC